UAGGGAAUCUUCCACAAUGGACGCAAGUCUGAUGGAGCAACGCCGCGUGAGUGAAGAAGGCUUUCGGGUCGUAAAACUCUGUUAUUGAAGAAGAACGUGUGUGGCAGUAACUGGUCAUGCAGUGACGGUAUUCAAUCAGAAAGUCACGGCUAACUACGUGCCAGCAGCCGCGGUAAUACGUAGGUGGCAAGCGUUGUCCGGAUUUAUUGGGCGUAAAGCGAGUGCAGGCGGUCUUUUAAGUCUGAUGUGAAAGCCUUCGGCUUAACCGAAGAAGGGCAUCGGAAACUGGGAGACUUGAGUGCAGAAGAGGAGAGUGGAACUCCAUGUGUAGCGGUGAAAUGCGUAGAUAUAUGGAAGAACACCAGUGGCGAAGGCGGCUCUCUGGUCUGUAACUGACGCUGAGGCUCGAAAGCGUGGGUAGCAAACAGGAUUAGAUACCCUGGUAGUCC
rnacentral:rRNA from 1 species